GGGUGCGAUCAUACCAGCACUAAUGCACCGGAUCCCAUCAGAACUCGCAAUUAAGCGUGCUUGGGCGAGAAUAGUACUAGGUUGGGUGACCUCCUCGGAAGUCCUAGUUUUGCACCCC
rnacentral:rRNA from 1 species